UAAUUGAAGAGUUUGAUCAUGGCUCAGAUUGAACGCUGGCGGCAGGCCUAACACAUGCAAGUCGAGCGGCAGCACAGAGGAACUUGUUCCUUGGGUGGCGAGCGGCGGACGGGUGAGUAAUGCCUGGGAAAUUACCCGGUAGAGGGG
rnacentral:rRNA from 1 species